rnacentral:rRNA from 1 species
GACGAACGCUGGCGGCGUGCUUAACACAUCCAAGUCGAACGAAGUGGCGAACGGGUGAGUAAUACGUGCGUAACCUGCCCUCCUUUUUGGGAUAAGCCUUGGAAACGGGGUCUAAUACCGAAUAAAGGGGGAUGGGCUCGCGGCCUUUCAGGUUGUUGGUGGGGUGAUGGCCUACCACGGCGGUGACGGGUGGCCGGCCUGAGAGGGUGAACGGAAACAUUGGGACGGAGAUGAGGCACAGACUAAUACGAGAGGCAGAAGUGGGGGGAAGUGCAAAAUGGGCGAAAGCCUGAUGCAGCGAAGACGCGUGGGGGAUGAAGGCUUUAGGGUUGUAAAACUCUUUAGCUAGCGAAAGGGGAGGGGGAGAAGAAGCGCCGGCUAACUACGUGCCAGCAGCCGCGGUAAUAC